rnacentral:rRNA from 1 species
CAGCCGCCGCGGUAAUACCGGCGGCCCGAGUGGCGGCCACUAUUAUUGGGCUUAAAGCGUCCGUAGCCGGGUUGGUUAGUCUCCCGGGAAAUCUGGCCGCUUAACGGUCAGAAUUCCGGGAGAUACUGCCAGCCUAGGGACCGGGAGAGGCCGAGGGUAUUCCCGGAGUAGGGGUGAAAUCCUAUAAUCCCGGGAGGACCACCUGUGGCGAAGGCGCUCGGCUGGAACGGGUCCGACGGUGAGGGACGAAGGCCAGGGGAGCAAACCGGAUUAGAUACCCGGGUAGUCCUGGCGGUAAACGAUGCGGACUUUGUGUCGGACAAGCUAUGAGCUUGUCCGGUGCCGGAGGGAAGCCGUUAAGUCCGCCGCCUGGGGAGUACGGCCGCAAGGCUGAAACUUAAAGGAAUUGGCGGG